GUCCUUCUUAGGGGAAUGCUCAGCUUUGAA
rnacentral:piRNA from 1 species